rnacentral:rRNA from 1 species
AGCGAACGCUGGCGGCAGGCCUAACACAUGCAAGUCGAACGAACUCUUCGGAGUUAGUGGCGGACGGGUGAGUAACACGUGGGAACGUGCCUUUUGGUUCGGAAUAACUCAGGGAAACUUGUGCUAAUACCGAAUGUGCCCUUCGGGGGAAAGAUUUAUCGCCAUUAGAGCGGCCCGCGUCUGAUUAGCUAGUUGGUGAGGUAACGGCUCACCAAGGCGACGAUCAGUAGCUGGUCUGAGAGGAUGACCAGCCACACUGGGACUGAGACACGGCCCAGACUCCGACGGGAGGCAGCAGUGGGGAAUCUUGCGCAAUGGGCGAAAGCCUGACGCAGCCAUGCCGCGUGAAUGAUGAAGGUCUUAGGAUUGUAAAAUUCUUUCACCGGGGACGAUAAUGACGGUACCCGGAGAAGAAGCCCCGGCUAACUUCGUG